UUCUUGCCCUCCUUCAUCGUAACAGAAACCGCUCCCCCGCCGAAUUGCGCCCCAAGCUACCAUCCCCAUCAGCUAAAGAACAAACCCAAAUCUAAGCAAAUUCAAACUUGAUUUUCAAGGCAAUUUCAUGGAAUGAGAAGAGGUUAGAGUUCGAAGCUGAAGUUUUGAGUUGAGUUUCGUUGAUCUUUCUGUUCCGCUUCUGCUCCAUCUGCUUAAUCCGAGAUCCAAGUUUUUAUUUACUCAGCCAUGGACGACGAACACCGGAAAACGGUGGCUCUCAAAAAGGCUUACGCUGACAUAAUUCUGAACACGGUGAAGGAGGCAGCGGCUCGCGUAAUGGUAUCCGAACGCAAAGCUCUUUGUCUCCAGCAGGAUCUUUGUUCUGUCAAGGACGAGGCGCACAGGAUGCUCCUUCGCUUGAAGAACAUGAUCGAUUCUAAGACGCGUGAAACAGAAAUUGCAUCAUUAUGUCACAGGAAAAAAGUUGAAGAACUUGAAGCACAAUUUCAUGGGGCAGAGGAUGUGAUAGCAGAUCUUAGAAUAAAGUUGAAAGAGGUGCAAUCCCAGUUGGAGAAGGAGAAAAAAGACAAUACUUUCUCCAGCCAGUCUACUCUUCAGCCGGAUUCUUCCUGUCCGUUCUCAUCAGAACUGCAAGCAGUCUCUUCUAAUUUAAAGAACACAAAGAUGGAACAGAUAGCCCAAGCAAUGUCCAAGAGUGUGCCAAAGUCUAUCGAACAAUCUUCUGUUUCUCAAGUGGACAUUGUCCAUUCUCAUGAUUCUGACUCUACCUCCACGGUAGUGAGAACUAAGGAGCAUAGAUUAUCUAGGAAGAGAUGCCCCCAGAGAAUUCAUGCACUAGAAAGGAAUUUCCUGGAUUAUAGUUUAUCUUCAGGUGUUGAUGUAAAAGAUAGCCAAGUCCUUGAGGAAAAUGAACCUUUAGUAAAAAGAAGGGACAAGGAGGAAAGAGGCCUCUCAACCAGAACUGGAAAGACAGAUAUACGGAAGAAUGUACAUGAUGCUGUGUUGAAUAGAUCUGUAAAGAUCCAUACAUCGAGAAGGACGUCUGGCCCACAUUUGAAAGUGGGUGACGUGAGUUCUGAUAAAAGUGAGUAUCAACCAUCUCUGAUGGCUGAUAGUGGGAAUGUGACACAAAAUUCAUGUUUGCCGGAGGAGCAUAAAAUUGAUAGUUACAAAGAUGCAAGUGGAAAUUCUAAUGGAGGUCAACCAAAAGGAAACAUGAAAAGAGGAAUUUUAAAUGGUCACUUGCCUGAUCAGCCAAUCAAUCCUUGCGAUAUGUCUGUUGUACUGUCUCCAUGUAGGACUUCCAUUAAUCAAGUUAAUGAUAAUGGGAAAUCUGGUGAAGAUCAUUCCAACACGACUAAGCAUCAGAGGAAGAUGAAGAAAUUAAACUGCUUGGAUACCGGACUCACAUCAACAGACAAGAAAAUGAUGAUCAGAUGUACUAGACAAAGCAAACGCAAGAGGGAAGCCAUGGGCAUUUCUGAUGAAAAUAUUUCUCCUGGAAAGAGCAAUGGAAAAAAGUGGUUGGGUGAGAAACUCAAAUUUGAGUCCGAGUUUGAGAGGUCUGACUUGAUCAAAGAAUCAACGAAGGAGAGUCGACAUCUGUCUCAAGUUGCUCGUCAGCUUGUGUCUUUGUCUAGAGAAAGAUGGCAGUAAUAAUGGUGAUAUCUUUUCGUUCUUCAACACCAUCAGAACCUGGAUAUGAUUGGGCAUCAAGCACGUCGGUCUCCUGGGAGUUGUUCUUCAGAAUUUACUUUUCCAAAAAGAAUCCACAGAGCACAAAUUUGAGAGUUCAACUUCAAACCCAGCUGAUUUUUGCAUCAUCAAAUAUGUGGAGGGCAGAAGAAAGUUACAGAGAAUCAAAGCAAGCAGAGGUUGAAGAUAAGGAUUCUAUAGGCACGGCUCUGUUAUCAGCAGGAACAGCAUUGUUAAUGGCAGCUUGUUUGAAGAGAGCUGUGGUUCUGUUCUUGGUUGAACAAUGGCGGAUCUGGGUGUUCCUUCUCUUAAAUCUCAUCCUCGUAGCAAUUUUCUUCACUUCAAGUCCUUCAAGUUACAGCGAAAGCCAAACCCAAGAGGCCAAUGCUAAAAUAAAGCAGAAAAAGAUCGAAAACAGAGAGUGCAAGGAGGCUGAGAAGGUAGAAAAGGUUGAGAUCAAACAUCAAGAGAGGGAAAAAGAAGAAGAAGAAGAAGAACUCCAAGAAGAAGAAGAAGAACAAGAACAAGAACAAGAGGAAAUUGGGUUGUCGAAAGAGGAAUUGAAUGAGAGAGUGGAAGCUUUCAUUGUGAUGUUCAAGAAGCAAUUGAUUUCCGAUGCAAGAAGAGGGGGAAACAGGCGCACCCCAUUGAGCUACAAUCCUCAAUAGCCAUAGCCAAACCCAAAUUCUUUUAUCCAAGAUUUUUGGGAGGGUGAAGGUGAGGACUGUUUGGUGAGUUUCAAGAGCUUCAAAAAUGUAAUCUUUGAAGCAUAAUGUUAUUAUUUUUGUAUGUCCCAA